GACGAACGCUGGCGGCGUGCCUAAUACAUGCAAGUCGAACGAGAGCAACCGGUGCUUGCACUGUUCAAUCUAGUGGCGAACGGGUGAGUAACACGUGGGUAACCUGCCCAUCAGAGGGGGAUAACAUCCGGAAACGGAUGCUAAAACCGCAUAGGUCUUCGAACCGCAUGGUUUGAAGAGGAAAAGAGGCGCAAGCUUCUGCUGAUGGAUGGACCCGCGUUGCAUUAGCUAGUUGGUGAGGUAACGGCUCACCAAGGCCGUGAUGCAUAGCCGAACUGAGAGGGUGAUAGGCCACAUUGGGACUGAGACACGGCCCAAACUACUACGGGAGGCAGCAGUAGGGAAUUUUCCGCAAUGGACGCAAGUCUGACGGAGCAACGCCGCGUGAGUGAAGAAGGUUUUCGGAUCGUAAAACUCUGUUGUUAGAGAAGAACAAGUGCUAGAGUAACUGUUAGCGCAUUGACGGUAUCUAACCAGAAAGCAACGGCUAACUACGUG
rnacentral:rRNA from 1 species